rnacentral:tRNA from 1 species
GCCUGGGUGGCUCAGUUGGUUGGGCGUCUGACUUAGAUUCAGGUCAUGAUCUCGCAGUUCGUGAGUUCAAGCCCCUCGUCGGGCU